CAGGAAAUAAUACGACUAGCCUUCAGAAUAAAAUAAUAUCAUCUAAUUUAAGACAGAGGAGAAUGCAAAAGGCUUUCUGAUUUCGGCAGGCAGACAACAGGCAAUGUCAUAUCAACACAGUUAUCUAUAUAUAAUGACUGAUUAGCAAUAUAUAAUGUAUUGAUUGAUUAAAUCAUCGGUUUUAUUUUGAAAGCAGUCUCUCGUGUGACUCUCACUUCCUUCAUCAGCUGCACCGAAGGCGUGGCUUGAAGCAUGGUAACCAAAUGUUAUGCUGUACCGUAUGUCACUGGUAAAGAGGAGGUAAUAACAGAUUAUGAUCACAGGGCCCAGCAGGGAUUUCCGACAUUCUGUAAGGACUGACUAUUACGGCUAGUCAGCCUUAUUGAAGUUGUCCCAGUAGUUUUAUGUACAUACUGUAUAAGGGGCUCCAGUACAAGUCAGUAAAAUCUCUAUAAAUUUAAGAUUAUAUAAUUUAACAAAAAUAGAUUCAUUUCAUGUUUUAAAAAAUUUGAUUUAAUUAUUAUUCGGUUGUAUAAAGUGAAAAUUUUAUAUAUUUGUAUAUUUUGCUCUUGUUUGUCUUGUCUUGACAUGUUUUGGAUAAUCUUGAGCCAAACAAAAUUCAGAUUAUAAGUAAAAGAGUCUAAGAUAGCUACCGUAUGAUAUGUUGACAUCUCCCUCUUUGAGUGCUAUAAAAAUAACCUGAAUUGAAUUGGAUUAAGCCUCAGUGCAGAGUCACAGACUUUCCAACAUAGCUGAAGACAUUUGUUCUAUUUUUAAAAUCUAAUUAAUAUCACUGUUUGGGCUAUAAUAAAGCUUUAAAAAUAGUUUUCAUAGUCGCAUUUAGUGAUUUGUAUGUGUAAAAGCCUUUUAAAGCCUUAUCCUUUUGCUGGAGUCAGGAGUUAAUCCUGAAAUACAGCACCUUUUAAGAAACUAGGUCAAAGUCAGACCUAGUCAGACUAUAUGAAGGUACUGACUUGUUUGUUAUAUAUCCACAGUUGGUCGCUGCCUGUUUGGCCUUCAGUAGAGUUAUGCUGUGUCAUUGUGCCGUUGUGUGGGCUGACAUGUUUGGCUUUAGCAUUUGCCUCAGGAAUUAGUUGCUCUUAUUUUGGAUUGUUGGAAAACCUAAUCUGAGCCAAAAACACACUUGUAAAUGUGUAUAUUGUAUAUCGUGUAUAUUCAAUUAGAUUUUGUAAGGUGCAUUUGAGUAGACAUCUACAGUUUAUUAAAUAAAUAUAUAAAUGUCUUUUAGAAAUUAUUACAUUUCAGGAGCCAAAACUAUUGAGCAAUCACAAGGGGCCAAGCUCUCUCUACAAACCUUUACCUCAUGGUUGUUUAGAAAACUCAGCAGACCCAAAAAUAGUUUUUGAGUCUUCUCAGUGAGCUCAGGGGCCUCAUUUUAAAGAUCUCCCUGAAGAACCCCAAUAGAUCUUGACUUACGGUUGAGACCUAUGGAAUCCACUCACUGGCCUUAAGGGAAUUCAUGAGAUAGCUCUAACUAUUUUGCAUCAUAUAGAAUCCACUAAGACGUCACAGUCCCUUAAAUGAGAUACACUAAUGAGAAGUAAGCAAAUAUUAGCACACAGGCUCUCAGACAGAGGUGCACGGUGUUCCUGAUAAAUCCUCUAAUCUCACAGAAUGACAGUAUGGAGAGGUCAACAUGAAGGUAUCUUCAGUAGGUAAAAGGCUAAUAUAAUACAAGCUCAGCAAACGUUGGGGUUAGAGUACGUUAACACCACAGACAUACAUCCUGUGAUCAAGGCAAACAGCUGGCUAAAAGUCUGAAGUUCAGAGUCUGAAGGCUGAUUAAAGGUAAAGACAGCUGUCACCAGUAGGCAACUUACAGCAGGCGUGUACUGCUACCUGCUGGGGACAAACGUCAUUACAGCCACAGUUCAAAUGUCCCAUGACAUGUUUCUGCUCUCUUUUGUUUCUCUUGUGUUGUUUUAUUAUAAAUUUUCCAUUUGACAUACAAUUAUUCCUCUAGUGCUGUAUCUCAAUUUUAGGCAUACUACAUAUUUACAUUGAUUAUUUUAUAAAAUUUUUGAUCAUACAUGAUUUUGUCAAACUUCGUAAACAGAAAGUAGGCAAGUUUAGUAGGUGACAGGCUAUGAUAUCUUGUGAUAAAUGCUUCACCAGGCUUUUGUUCUUCUCCCAAUCACAAUUUUAUUAUGUGAAUUUAUACAAUAAAAACAAGAAAUUACAAAACACAGACACAUUACACAAACAGUGCCAUGUGAUUGAAUCCAUCUUAUGUAAAGUGAGCUGACAGCUACUUGUCUGAGCAAUAUCUGUCUGAGCAAUAUCUGUGCUCAUGUCCUCCAUCAGACUCAGACUUCCCACAUCCAGCCCCUGGAAGAUCUGUCCGGUAGAAACCUAUUUUAUGUCGAAUGUGUAAAUGAAGUUCAAAGAAACUGACGAAGAACAGAUUUUAGGAGCAGUUUCUAUAUUACUUUGGUGUCAUCUGUUUCUUGUUGCACUCAAAGUGAGCAAAGUCAGGAAUACAUGUUUGCUUUCCUAGAGUAAGGCUACAAUAUAACAGGGUCCAUACAAAAGCAAAACAAA